UACAGAGGUCCCAAGCGUUGUUCGGAUUCACUGGGCGUAAAGGGUGCGUAGGCGGUUGGGUAAGUUUGACGGGAAAUCUCCGGGCCUAACCCGGAAACUGCGUUGAAUACUAUCCGACUAGAGGAAUGGAGGGGAGACUGGAAUACUUGGUGUAGCAGUGAAAUGCGUAGAUAUCAAGUGGAACACCAGUGGCGAAGGCGAGUUUCUGGACAUUUCCUGACGCUGAGGCACGAAAGCCAGGGGAGCAAACGGG
rnacentral:rRNA from 1 species